CGGACGGGUGAGUAACGCGUGGGUACCCUGCCUCAUACAGGGGGAUAACGGUUAGAAAUGACUGCUAAUACCGCAUAAGCACACAGUACCGCAUGGUACGGUGUGAAAAACUCCGGUGGUAUGAGAUGGACCCGCGUCUGAUUAGCUAGUUGGUGAGGUAACGGCCCACCAAGGCGACGAUCAGUAGCCGACCUGAGAGGGUGACCGGCCACAUUGGGACUGAGACACGGCCCAG
rnacentral:rRNA from 1 species